GGAGGUUUGGCAGAGUGGUUUAAUGCACCGGUCUUGAAAACCGACGUAGGUUGAUAGCCUACCCAGAGUUCGAAUCUCUGAGCCUCCGCCA
rnacentral:tRNA from 1 species